rnacentral:rRNA from 1 species
CCCUUAGAUGUUCUGGGCCGCACGCGCGCUACACUGAUGCAUUCAACGAGCCUAUCCUUGACCGACAGGUCCGGGUAACCUUUGAAUCUGCAUCGUGACGGGGAUAGAUUAUUGCAAUUAUUAAUCUUCAACGAGGAAUGCCUAGUAGGCGCAAGUCAUCAGCUUGCGUCGAUUACGUCCCUGCCCUUUGUACACACCGCCCGUCGCUCCUACCGAUUGGGUGUGCUGGUGAAAUGUUCGGAUCGGCCGUUUGUCGCGGUUUCCGCGUCAUGUGGCUGAGAAGUUCAUUAAACCCUCCCACCUAGAGGAAGGAGAAGUCGUAACA